GGAAUAUUGGUCAAUGGAGGCAACUCUGAACCAGCCAUGCCGCGUGCAGGAAGACGGCCCUAUGGGUUGUAAACUGCUUUUAUCUGGGAAUAAACCUUUUUACGUGUAAGAAGCUGAAUGUACCAGAAGAAUAAGGAUCGGCUAACUCCGUGCCAGCAGCCGCGGUAAUACGGAGGAUCCAAGCGUUAUCCGGAUUUAUUGGGUUUAAAGGGUGCGUAGGCGGCCUGUUAAGUCAGAGGUGAAAGACGGUAGCUCAACUAUCGCAGUGCCUUUGAUACUGACGGGCUUGAAUAAACUAGAGGUAGGCGGAAUGAGACAAGUAGCGGUGAAAUGCAUAGAUAUGUCUCAGAACACCGAUUGCGAAGGCAGCUUACUAUGGUUUUAUUGACGCUGAGGCACGAAAGCGUGGGGAUCAAACAGGAUUAGAUACCCCAG
rnacentral:rRNA from 1 species